rnacentral:rRNA from 1 species
UACGUAGGGUGCAAGCGUUGUCCGGAAUUAUUGGGCGUAAAGAGCUCGUAGGCGGCUUGUCGCGUCGGCUGUGAAAACCCGGAGCUCAACUCCGGGCCUGCAGUCGAUACGGGCGGACUAGAGUUCGGCAGGGGAGACUGGAAUUCCUGGUGUAGCGGUGAAAUGCGCAGAUAUCAGGAGGAACACCGGUGGCGAAGGCGGGUCUCUGGGCCGAUACUGACGCUGAGGAGCGAAAGCGUGGGGAGCGAACAGG